CAAAAGACUCCAGGGCGGAUCCGCCCUCAAGUCGCCAGCUCCGCUAUGCUGUCAGAAUCAGUUUGGCCAUUCGCAAACAAUAUGCCCCGCCUCCGAACGGCGGACUGUCAGUUCGUGGGCUCGCAACAGACCCUGGGCGGAUGCGUUGAUCUAACGCGCCCAUUUCAACGGUCGCGGUCACAGAGUGUAGUCGCCAGAAUGAAGCAGCAGGAGCCCGCAGAUCGGAAAACGCUUACAGUUCAUCCAAGUCCCUUGGAGGCCAUUUCACCUUUUUCAACCAUUUGGCUUACAGUUCGUUCAAGUGCUGCCAAUUUCUUGGGGGCCAUUUCACCUUUAUCAACCAUUUGAGUAAUCUUACAGUUAAUUCAGGUGUUGCCAGUCUGUUGGACCAUUUCAGAAUUGUUGUUGGAGUCAUCUUACUAUUUCAACUGCUAGAGUAAAGUGCUGUGAGAAAAAACCAUGUCUCCCAUGCCGCCACUGAUGAUUCAUCUAUUCAUUCAUUUUCUUUUCGGCUUAGUCUCUUUAUUAAUCCGCGGUCGCCACAGCGGAAUGAACCACCAACUUAUCCAGCAUAUGUUUUACACAGCGGAUGCCCUUCCAGCUACAACCCAUCUCUGGGAAACAUCCAUACACACUCAUACACUACGGACAAUUUAACCUACCCAAUUCACCUGUAAUGCAUGUGUUUGGACUGUGGGGGAAACCAGAGCACCCGGAGCAAACCCACACAAACAUGUGAAAAACAUGUACCCUCCACACAGAAAUGCCAACUGACCCAGCCAGGGCUCGAACCAGCGACUGGUGAGACGACAGCACUACCUACGUCUUGCUGUGAGACGACAGCACUACCUACUGCGUCGCCGCCACUAAUGAUGUCAUUGUUUAACAUGUGAUACAAUGGUUCAACCUGGCAGCAGACAGGGGAAGCUCAAGGAGUUUGCCCCACUGUCAGUAUCUUGACUCAACAGUGAACUCUUUGAAAUGGUCAUUUAAAAUAGUACCAUUCUGUUCAGCAAAGUCUAUAAUUAAUUCUGCUUUUAAAUACUCUUUUUCAUGUAGUAAAAUGCUUUUAUGAAGUAAAACAGUUAACGGUACAAUUU